rnacentral:rRNA from 1 species
GAUGAACGCUGGCGGCGUGCCUAAUACAUGCAAGUCGAGCGAACGGACGAGAAGCUUUCUUCUCUGAUGUUAGCGGCUGACGGGUGAGUAACACGUGGAUAACCUACCUAUAAGACUGGGAUAACUUCGUGAAACCGGAGCUAAUACCGGAUAAUAUUUUGAACCGCAUGGUUCAAAAGUUAAAGACGGUCUUGCUGUCACUUAUAGAUGGAUCCGCGCUGCAUUAGCUAGUUGGUAAGGUAACGGCUUACCAAGGCAACGAUGCAUAGCCGACCUGAGAGGGUGAUCGGCCACACUGGAACUGAGACACGGUCCAGACUCCUACGGGAGGCAGCAGUAGGGAAUCUUCCGCAAUGGGCGAAAGCCUGACGGAGCAACGCCGCGUGAGUGAUGAAGGUCUUCGGAUCGUAAAACUCUGUUAUUAGGGAAGAACAUAUGUGUAAGUAACUGUGCACAUCUUGACGGUACCUAAUCAGAAAGCCACGGCUAACUACGUG